rnacentral:lncRNA from 1 species
ACAUUAUCACUGUCAGCUCGCUGAAGGGGGCCGGAAAGGCCCUGUCCUGUGGUGAUGAAGGAGGGGGCAGGGCGAAAGGGUCUUCUAGGUCAGGGAAGGAGACGUGACAUGGUCACCAGAAGCCAGCUGUGCCCUCAGGCCUCCUGUCAGUGCUGUAGCACCCAGGAGGCCUGGCGAUGAAGCACCCCAGAAGCUGCCAGAGUGGUAGGAAACAGCCUGACUGCAUAAAGCUUCAUUCACUAAGCACUCCCAUCUGUUCUAGAUGACUUCAUGCAGAAGAUCCUCGCUCUGCUCCAAGAUGCAGAGGAGCUGGUGGGACAGCAGGUGAGGGGGACAUUGCUGUACCCCCGCCCCUCAGGGGUCCACGCUGCCCUCCCGGCGCUGCUGCCUGACUCAGUUUCUCUCCUCUCCCCACAGCAGCCUCCAGGGCAGGAGACUGAGGCAGCUGUAGAAAGCCUGGCCCCAGCAUGCAGGAGGAAGUCCCAGGAGAAAAAGCCCAGCAGCCUCCGGAGAGCCUUUUCUCAUAAAAGACACAGCUCCAAGGAGCCCAGGAGAGUGGGGACUGUGGGGGCCGCCACCCCUGAGCCCCGGCCACCCAAGAGGCCCAGCUUCCUGCCCCUGUGUGUUGGCGGCUCUGACCCUGAAGGCCUGGAGUUCCGGGAGCCCUGGGCCGCAGAAGAGACAGCAUCUGGGUUCUCAGAAGCAGCCUCCCAGGCCAGGAGCUGCACACCGGACGGGGGCCAUCAGCCGGAGGGAGCACGAGAAUCUAGUCAGUACCUCCCCUGCCCUUGGGGGGCUUCGCUUGUGCACAAGUGCCACGGGCUGAUCAGCAAAGGGGGGCAGAUGCAGGUAGAGACACCUGUCUCUUUUGCAGGGAGGUGGGGGGACCUUGGAUGCCCUCUCAUGGGUUUGCUUGAAUGCUACAUAUAAGACCCUGGUCUAGCCGAGCGUGGUGGUGCACACCUAUAAUCCCAGCACUCAGGAGGCUGAGGCAGGAGGAUCGCUGCAAGUUCAAAGCCAGCCUGGGCUACAUAGUGAGAUCCUGUCUCAAAAAACCAAACUCCUGGCUUGCUUGGUCUGGUGACCAU